CGGAGUUAUCAUUAUCACCAAGAAAUAUGAUUUAUAGCAUGUCAGAUUCCACGGUUGAUUUUUUACACUGAAUCCCAAAACCGAUUCUUUUGAUCAUCAUCCAUCCUAAUCCGUAUAGGAGGAAAGCAAAAGGAUGCGGAGACAAAGCCCCAAUGACCGGACGAAUGAUACGGUAUCGCAGACAGUAAACUCACACGACUAGCUCCAUGCAAUAGCCGGCAAACCACGCAGAGCAGAUAAACCAGCCGAAGCUGACCGACUCAAGGGAAGUGUCAUAAUGUUAAGAUACGUUUCCUAGUAAAUUUAUGUUUCUUUAGCAUGCUUGUGUUCAUUUCUAUCUAGCUUUCAGAUACCAUGUUCUCGUGUUUCUGUUUCUUGGUGAUGUACUAUAUAUAUAUAUAUAUAGAGUUAUGGAUCUAAUCAAGAGGUUUGGUCGAAUGAUGAUCAUGUUUAUGCAAUCAUUAUAUCCAUCAUGUACAUGCAUGCAUGUUUACGGGGUGUAUAUGUACAUGCAUGCAAUCAUUAUUCCCAGUUAUAUCUAUGAUUUUAUUUACCAACCAAAUGAGUCGAGACCAUGCAUAUUUAAUGAGACACAGCCCCCAUUCCCACAUUUUCCAUGCCUCUGCCGUUAAAAUCAUUAACCUCUGCAUCUCUCCCCUUGUUCCGUAGUUCUCAAGCAAAUCAACAAACAUUCAAGAAAAAUCAAUAACGACGUGGCUUUUAUCAAUGUUUCUACCAAGGAGAAAAUGCUUGCGAGGAUGUUGAGUAUUAAUCAAUUUGAAAAGGCCAUGCAUAAGAAUAUAUAUAUAUACGUAUAUGUAUAUAUAUGAGUGAUGAUCACCAAGCCGACAAUCCCCUUUUAGUGACUCUUCGUUUUCUUGCUUACAUAUAUAUAUAUAUUCAUGUAACUGUCUCACGACACGAUACAUUAAAUGAUUAAACCGAAAUCAAGUAAAAAAAAUUUAAAAAUAAAUAAAGAAUAUAUAACCCCUUGGGUUAUAAUGUGUAAUUUUUUUCCUCGUCAGGGGCAAAAACAAAUCAUGCUUCUAUUAUUAAUCAUUUUCCUUAGAUAUCAAGGAAACAAAAGGACCUAAUAUACCAAACUCCAACCCCCCGAA